rnacentral:rRNA from 1 species
GACGAACGCUGGCGGCGUGCCUAACACAUGCAAGUCGAACGAGGUCCAUGAGAGCUUGCUCUCAGAAGACCUAGUGGCGAACGGGUGAGUAACACGUGAGAAACCUGCCUCGGAGUGGGGAAUAACUCGGGGAAACUCGAGCUAAUACCGCAUAUCUUCACAUGAUCGCAUGGUCGAGUGAAGAAAGAAUUUCGCUCUGAGAGGGUCUCGCGGCCUAUCAGCUUGUUGGUGGGGUAACGGCCCACCAAGGCAACGACGGGUAGCUGGUUUGAGAGAACGAUCAGCCACACUGGGACUGAGACACGGCCCAGACUCCUACGGGAGGCAGCAGUGGGGAAUCUUGCGCAAUGGGCGAAAGCCUGACGCAGCAACGCCGCGUGCGGGAUGACGGCCUUCGUGGUUGUAAACCGCUUUCAGCAGGGACGAAAAUGACGGUACCUGCAGAAGAAGACCCCGGCUAACUACGUGCCAGCAGCCGCGGUAAU